rnacentral:misc_RNA from 2 species
AACGCACAUUGCGCCCUCUGGUAUUCCGGAGGGCAUGCCUGUCCGAGCGUCAUUGCUGCCCUCCAGCCCGGCUGGUGUGUUGGGCCCCGCCCCCCUUCCCGGGGGGGCGGGCCCGAAAGGCAGCGGCGGCACCGCGUCCGGUCCUCGAGCGUAUGGGGCUUUGUCACCCGCUCUUGUAGGCCCGGCCGGCGCCAGCCGACCCCCUCAAUCUAUUUUUUCAGGUUGACCUCGGAUCAGGUAGGGAUACCCGCUGAACUUAA